GGAGGUUGGCUCAGAAGCAGCCAUCCUUGAAAGAGUGCGUAAUAGCUCACUGGUCGAGUGGUCGUGCGCCGACAAUGUAGCGGGGCUUAAGCGUGCCGCCGAAGCCGCGGACUCCUCCGUGAGGAGGGGUGGUAGGGGAGCGUCCUGCGUUGGGUGAAGCUCGGGAGUGAUCCUAGGGUGGACGGCGUGGGAGUGAGAAUGCAGGCAUGAGUAGCGAUGACUAGGGUGAGAGUCCCUAGCGCCGAAUGACCAAGGGUUCCAGGGCCAGGUGGAUCCGCCCUGGGUGAGUCGGGACCUAAGACGAGGCCGACAGGCGUAGUCGAUGGAUGACGGGUUGAUAUUCCCGUACCGGCGUAGGACCGCCCAUGCUGACGCGCGGGUGCUAACUCACGCCCGUGGUCGUUGAUUCGCUGGUGGCCGGUACCUUCGGGUCCGGGUGCUGGUGUCGGCCAGGGUCUGGGGAUCCUCCGUGCAGGUAGGCAAGCGUAGUAACAGGGGUGACGCACAGUGGUAGCCUCGCGGGCCUAAUGGCUUGGCCCGUUCAAGCGCGCAGCCUCUCGCUCAGGUAAAUCCGGGCGAUCGCGUUAAUGACAUGGUUGUUGACGCGGGGGUGAGGCGUGAUGGUGACCCCGCUGUGAGCGGGGGAGAGCAGGGUGAUCCUGGGGUGCCGAGAAAAGCCUCGACGCGAUGGUGCUGGGCCGCCCGUACCCGAAACCGACACAGGUGGUCGGGCAGAGCAUGCCUAGGCGAACGAGUGAAUCAUGGUUAAGGAACUCGGCAAAAUGCCCCCGUAACUUCGGGAGAAGGGGGGCCUGAGCUUUGAAGCCCCUUCGCGGGCUAGGAGCAAGGGUCGCAGAGAACAGGGGGGAGCGACUGUUUACUAAAAACACAGGUCCGUGCGAAGCCGUAAGGCGAUGUAUACGGACUGACGCCUGCCCGGUGCUGGAAGGUUAAGAGGAUCCGUGAGCCCCUUGGAUACAUGGGGUGAGGCGGUGAGUUCAAGCCCCAGUAAACGGCGGUGGUAACUAUAACCAUCCUAAGGUAGCGAAAUUCCUUGUCGGGUAAGUUCCGACCUGCACGAAUGGCGUAACGACUUCCCUACUGUCUCAACCAUGAGCUCGGCGAAAUUGCACUACGAGUAAAGAUGCUCGUUUCGCGCAGAAGGACGGAAAGACCCCGGGACCUUUACUACAACUUGGUAUUGGUGUUCGCUGUGGCUUGUGCAGGAUAGGUGGGAGACCGUGAAGCUGUCACGCUAGUGAUGGUGGAGUCGUUGUUGAAAUACCACUCUGGCCUGGGCGUGCGCCUGAACCUCGGCUCGUGAUCCGGGCCAGGGACAGUGCCUGGCGGGUAGUUUAACUGGGGCGGUUGCCUCCUAAAGAGUAACGGAGGCGCUCAAAGGUUCCCUCAGCCUGGUCGGUCAUCAGGUAGUGAGUGCAAGUGCACAAGGGAGCUUGACUGUGAGACUGACGGGUCGAGCAGGUACGAAAGUAGGAACUAGUGAUCCGGCGAUCCCGUGUGGGUGGGUCGUCGCUCAACGGAUAAAAGGUACCCCGGGGAUAACAGGCUGAUCCUGCCCAAGAGUCCAUAUCGACGGCAUGGUUUGGCACCUCGAUGUCGGCUCGUCGCAUCCUGGGGCUGGAGCAGGUCCCAAGGGUUGGGCUGUUCGCCCAUUAAAGCGGUACGCGAGCUGGGUUUAGAACGUCGUGAGACAGUUCGGUCCCUAUCCUCUGCGCGCGCAGGAGACUUGAGAAGGCCUGUCCCUAGUACGAGAGGACCGGGACGGACGAACCUCUGGUAUGCCAGUUGUUCCGCCAGGAGCACGGCUGGUUAGCUACGUCCGGACAUGGAUAACCGCUGAAAGCAUCUAAGCGGGAAACCAUCUUCAAGACCAGGUCUCCACCACCCCCUCCUUUCUUUUU
rnacentral:rRNA from 1 species